UUUAAAUGUUGCUAGCUUAGUUUAUUUUUUAAAAAAUAUAUCUUCUGAGAGGUUUGAGAAAACUAAGAAAGUAUAUUUUGUUUAGCCUUUCCAAAUACUAUUUCCCUGGAAAUAGUAUUUUGUUUAGCCUUUCCAAAUACUAUUUCCUAAUCAGUGAGUUAGUCCAGACCUCAGAGGGCUCCUGGAAUUAGAAAGAAGGCAAGGAUGAACAUCAGGUUCAAGAUUAUUCUUAUGUUGCUUUACUACCAAACCAGAAAAUCUGGAUGUCCUGCAGGCAGGCAUGUUUAUGAGAGUUACUCAAAAAAGAUAUGCCCCCUGAAGUGCCAAGUUUAGUGAUCACGCAGUCCAUGUGGAAUGAGGAGUCUGCCAGGACAGAGGAGCUUGAGUUGGGAGGCUGGGGUAGAAGCAUGAUAACCCUCCAGGUUCCCCUCUGUUACCAUGUACCAGACUACUUGCUGCCCCAUGGGAACCAACAUCUGUGUUCUAUUUAUUACUAGCUCAUUGGCCUAUGCCUGUCUGGCUAUGGCCUAUGGAUAGUGAAAGAUAAAGAGUAGAGUUGAGUGGGGAGUAAAUAAAAAUCAACAUUUUUAUGUGAAAUAAAAAAUUAAUUCUAAAAUAGAAUGAAAUACUGAUCUGGAUCAUAUUCACUGAUUUUAAUUGAUUUAUCAUUUCUGAUUUCCUACCUUAGGUUAUAAGCAGAUACCUGAAAAUUGUGAAAUUGAUAUAAACCCAGAUCUUCAAAGCAACUGAUGACCAAGGGGACUGUGAUAUAAUAGCCACAUAUUCUUUACCAGUGUUAGGUUUUAGUUAAUAAACAUUACUAUGGAG
rnacentral:lncRNA from 1 species